AUGGGAGCUUGCUCCCUGAUGUUAGCGGCGGACGGGUGAGUAACACGUGGGUAACCUGCCUGUAAGACUGGGAUAACUCCGGGAAACCGGGGCUAAUACCGGAUGGUUGUCUGAACCGCAUGGUUCAGACAUAAAAGGUGGCUUCGGCUACCACUUACAGAUGGACCCGCGGCGCAUUAGCUAGUUGGUGAGGUAACGGCUCACCAAGGCGACGAUGCGUAGCCGACCUGAGAGGGUGAUCGGCCACACUGGGACUGAGACACGGCCCAGACUCCUACGGGAGGCAGCAGUAGGGAAUCUUCCGCAAUGGACGAAAGUCUGACGGAGCAACGCCGCGUGAGUGAUGAAGGUUUUCGGAUCGUAAAGCUCUGUUGUUAGGGAAGAACAAGUGCCGUUCAAAUAGGGCGGCACCUUGACGGUACCUAACCAGAAAGCCACGGCUAACUACGUGCCAGCAGCCGCGGUAAUACGUAGGUGGCAAGCGUUGUCCGGAAUUAUUGGGCGUAAAGGGCUCGCAGGCGGUUUCUUAAGUCUGAUGUGAAAGCCCCCGGCUCAACCGGGGAGGGUCAUUGGAAACUGGGGAACUUGAGUGCAGAAGAGGAGAGUGGAAUUCCACGUGUAGCGGUGAAAUGCGUAGAGAUGUGGAGGAACACCAGUGGCGAAGGCGACUCUCUGGUCUGUAACUGACGCUGAGGAGCGAAAGCGUGGGGAGCGAACAGGAUUAGAUACCCUGGUAGUCC
rnacentral:rRNA from 1 species